rnacentral:piRNA from 1 species
GAAUCCUCGUGGUUUAAAUAGACUUUCAGG